ensembl:rRNA 5S_rRNA 5S ribosomal RNA
AUCUAUGGCCUUAUCAUCCUAAAUGCGACUCAUCUCAUCUGAUCUCAGAAGCUAAGCACAGUCGGGCUUGGUUAGGACUUGGAUGGGAGAUUGCCUGGGAAUACCAGGUGCCAUGAGCU